rnacentral:tRNA from 1 species
GUUAUUUUGGCAGAAUAGUGCAGUAAAUUUAGAAUUUAUUUAAGUAGGUUUAUCCCUUCAUUUAACAC